AUUUGGAUAUCUUAAAAUUUUAAAGUUUAACUCUGAAGAAGUUAAUAUAGGAUUAACUCCUUCCAAAUA
rnacentral:tRNA from 1 species